AGUGAACGCUGGCGGUAGGCCUAACACAUGCAAGUCGAACGGCAGCACAGUAAGAGCUUGCUCUUACGGGUGGUGAGUGGCGGACAGGUGAGGAAUACAUCGGAAUCUACUUUUUCGUGGGGGAUAACGUAGGGAAACUUACGCUAAUACCGCAUACGACCUACGGGUGAAAGCAGGGGAUCUUCGGACCUUGCGCGAUUGAAUGAGCCGAUGUCGGAUUAGCUAGUUGGCGGGGUAAAGGCCCACCAAGGCGACGAUCCGUAGCUGGUCUGAGAGGAUGAUCAGCCACACUGGAACUGAGACACGGUCCAGACUCCUACGGGAGGCAGCAGUGGGGAAUAUUGGACAAUGGGCGCAAGCCUGAUCCAGCCAUACCGCGUGGGUGAAGAAGGCCUUCGGGUUGUAAAGCCCUUUUGUUGGGAAAGAAAAGCAGCAGGUUAAUACCCCGCUGUUCUGACGGUACCCAAAGAAUAAGCACCGGCUAACUUCGUG
rnacentral:rRNA from 1 species